GGAGAGAUGGCUGAGUGGUUGAUAGCCCAGUCUUGAAAACCGGUAUAGUUUUAUUGAAGACUAUCGAGGUUCGAAUCCCUCUCUCUCCU